UUAAUGUCGUCUGAGUACUAUAUAAUAGUUAAAACUUUCAACAACGGAUCUCUUGGUUCUGGCAUCGAUGAAGAACGCAGCGAAAUGCGAUAAGUAAUGUGAAUUGCAGAAUUCAGUGAAUCAUCGAAUCUUUGAACGCACAUUGCGCCCCUUGGUA
rnacentral:rRNA from 1 species